rnacentral:rRNA from 1 species
GCUGGCGGCGUGCCUAACACAUGCAAGUCGAACGCGGUUUUCCCGCAAGGGAAAACUGAGUGGCGAACGGGUGAGUAACACGUGGGUGACCUACCUUCGAGUGGGGGAUAACGUCCCGAAAGGGACGCUAAUACCGCAUAACAUUCUGCCUUUGAACAGGUGGAGAUCAAAGCCGGGGAUCGCAAGACCUGGCGCUUGAUGAGGGGCCCGCGUCCGAUUAGCUAGUUGGUGAGGUAAUGGCUCACCAAGGCAACGAUCGGUAGCCGGCCUGAGAGGGCGGACGGCCACACUGGGACUGAGACACGGCCCAGACUCCUACGGGAGGCAGCAGUGGGGAAUUGUUCGCAAUGGGCGCAAGCCUGACGACGCAAUGCCGCGUGGAGGAUGAAGGUCUUCGGAUUGUAAACUCCUGUUGCCAGGGACGAAUGGCCACGACCUAACAC